UAAUGAUGGUGAGGGCAAUUGCUUAGCAUACCCUUAAUUCUCUCCUAAGCUUGGUAUAGUUUUUCUCCUUCCUUCUGCCUGAAACUCAAAAUCUCACUUCUCGAUUG
rfam:Capsicum annuum cultivar Zunla-1 chromosome 7, whole genome shotgun sequence